CCUACGGGAGGCAGCAGUGGGGAAUAUUGGGCAAUGGACGCAAGUCUGACCCAGCAACGCCGCGUGGAGGAUGAAGGUCUUUGGAUUGUAAACUCCUUUUGCAGGGGAAGAGUGAGGACGGUACCCUGAGAAUAAGUCACGGCUAACUACGUGCCAGCAGCCGCGGUAAUACGUAGGUGACGAGCGUUAUCCGGAUUUAUUGGGCGUAAAGCGCACGCAGGCGGCUUGACAAGUCUGACGUGAAAUCUCCCGGCUUAACUGGGAGCGGUCGUUGGAAACUGUCGAGCUUGAGGCGAUGAGAGGGGUGUGGAAUUCCCGGUGUAGUGGUGGAAUGCGUAGAUAUCGGGGGGAACAUCAGUGGCGAAAGCGGCACCCUGGCAUUAGCCUGACGCUCAUGUGCGAAAGCGUGGGGAGCGAACGGGAUUAGAUACCCCUGUAGUC
rnacentral:rRNA from 1 species